UCGAGAAUCUUCGGCAAUGGACGCAAGUCUGACCGAGCGAUGCCGCGUGCGGGAUGAAGGCCCUCGGGUUGUAAACCGCUGUCAGUUGGGAGGAAAUGCCAUGGGGUUCUCUCCAUGGCUUGACCGAUCUUCAGAGGAAGGACGGGCUAAGUUCGUGCCAGCAGCCGCGGUAACACGAACCGUCCAAACGUUAUUCGGUAUCACUGGGCUUAAAGCGUGCGUAGGCGGCCUGGAAGGUGAGAUGUGAAAUCCCACGGCUCAACCGUGGAAUUGCGUUUCAAACCACCAGGCUUGAGGAAGGCAGGGGUGAUGGGAACUUAUGGUGGAGCGGUGAAAUGCGUUGAUAUCAUAGGGAACACCGGUGGCGAAAGCGCAUCACUGGGCCUUUUCUGACGCUGAGGCACGAAAGCUAGGGUAGCGAACGGGAUUAGAUACCCCUGUAGUCC
rnacentral:rRNA from 1 species